GUGCCCUAACUCUCCUCCUCCUCCUCCUCCUUCCUCUUUCGCGAAAGAUCCUCCCGUGCCCUAACUCUAGCUCCCGAGCUGCUUCUUCCUUCCCCUUCGAGAAGAGAGGAGCAAAGCCCGUCCCCUUCGUGCCCUAACUUCUUCAGCCGCAGCCUCACGUUCUCCUUUCUCUUCCUCCCAGUGAGGCCACCCACUUCUUCCCUCCCGUUCUCAAAGAGAGGAGCGAAGCCUGUCCAUCCAAAAAAAAAAUAGAGUCGAAGCCCUGACCUAGCUACGAGGUCAAGUUAUGGCACCAGUAGACAUGGAGCUUUGAAUUUGAGCACUCUUUGAGAUAAUCAACUUCUAUUCCUUUUCUUCUUCUUCUUCGACGCUUCCAUGGUUUGGUAGAUAAAGGAAAGGAAAAGCUAUAGAAAAGGAAGGCGACGAGG